CCUACGGGGGGCAGCAGUGGGGAAUAUUGGACAAUGGGCGAAAGCCUGAUCCAGCCAUGCCGCGUGUGUGAAGAAGGCCUUCGGGUUGUAAAGCACUUUCAGUGGGGACGAAAGCCUUGGGGCUAAUACCCUCGAGGAAGGACAUCACCCACAGAAGAAGCACCGGCUAACUCCGUGCCAGCAGCCGCGGUAAUACGGAGGGUGCGAGCGUUAAUCGGAAUUACUGGGCGUAAAGCGCGCGUAGGCGGUCUGAUAAGCCGGUUGUGAAAGCCCCGGGCUCAACCUGGGAACGGCAUCCGGAACUGUCAGGCUAGAGUGCAGGAGAGGAAGGUAGAAUUCCCGGUGUAGCGGUGAAAUGCGUAGAGAUCGGGAGGAAUACCAGUGGCGAAGGCGGCCUUCUGGACUGACACUGACGCUGAGGUGCGAAAGCGUGGGUAGCAAACAGGAUUAGAUACCCCUGUAGUC
rnacentral:rRNA from 1 species